UCGGGAAACGCGCGACUCGUCAUGGCACUUAGCCGAUCGACAUCGACGCAUUCUCUCAUUCUCUCCUUCAAUGCAAAAGCAUACCUGCAGCAGGUAUUCUAUUAGUGAGUUAUUCACUCAACAAUUCCGCACGUCGGCGGCCACUAUGAGUAGCUACUAGCUAUGCCAUACUCUAGUUGCUAUCGAGUAAACAGGUGCAUGAACCCACCAUGCACAAACGGCGCACACAGGAAUGUUGCGAAAAAUGUCGGAGGAGUGAAGAAGUGAACGUUGUGACGUGCGCCGAACAAAACGGUCAAAAAAAGCAAAUAGUUUUUACUUUUACUCGAGACUUAAACUGCUGGCGUGGUUUAGGUGAGUAGCUAUUUUAGGAACCCGCACUUUAAUUCAAGGCUGGUGCAGUAAUUAAACACCUUACAAGGAUUUUCAGUUAGAAUACAGUAAA